GACGAACGCUGGCGGCGUGCUUAACACAUGCAAGUCGAACGAUGAAGCUGGAGCUUGCUCUGGCGGAUUAGUGGCGAACGGGUGAGUAACACGUGAGAAAUCUGCCCUUGACUCUGGGAUAACUGCGGGAAACUGUAGCUAAUACCGGAUACUUUCCCUGGUGGGCAUCCACUGGGGAAGAAAGAAUUUCGGUCAAGGAUGAUCUCGCGGCCUAUCAGCUUGUUGGUGAGGUAAUGGCUCACCAAGGCGACGACGGGUAGCCGGCCUGAGAGGGUGACCGGCCACACUGGGACUGAGACACGGCCCAGACUCCUACGGGAGGCAGCAGUGGGGAAUAUUGCACAAUGGGCGAAAGCCUGAUGCAGCAACGCCGCGUGAGGGAUGAAGGCCUUCGGGUUGUAAACCUCUUUUAGCAGGGAAGAAGCGAAAGUGACGGUACCUGCAGAAAAAGCACCGGCUAACUACGUGCCAGCCGCCGCAGUAA
rnacentral:rRNA from 1 species